rnacentral:lncRNA from 1 species
GGUCUCUUCAUCUUCCUGAUAUAUGGGGUAUACAACACAGAGGCAUUUCUCGGCAUCCUCUGCUCUGCUCGGGGAGCGCAGAGUGAAUCCCAGCACAGAUCACACCGGGCCUAGCAGUGCGCGUUUUAUAAGGAGCCUAGGAGGCUGGGCAGCAGGGCCACGCGGCAAAGACUCCUCAGCCAGACUAGCAUCUGAAGUUGGCUGCUUUCAGG